GGCCUAGCUCAAUUGGUAGAGCAUCUGACUUUUAAUCAGAGGGUCAGAGGUUCGAAUCCUCUAUGGCUCACCA
rnacentral:tRNA from 2 species